rnacentral:lncRNA from 1 species
AAAAGUGAACCUAAUUUCCAACGUGUAGACUGCACUAGAAAGUGGACAGUAUCCACAGCUGCCUGACUCCAGAGAGCAUUAUGGAGAUGGAAGCUUGCAGAGCAAGGUCUCUAAGAGACUGUUGACAGGAUACCAGCUGCCUCUGUCUGAGGACAUAGGUGAGCGUUACACACACAUCCUUAAAGGGUGUCAUUUCUUAAUUCUGAUAAGGAUUCACAUGGUUAAUUAAG